rnacentral:lncRNA from 1 species
UUAAUUAAUAGGUUUACCCACCCCCACCAACAAUUUUCAAUCAUUCACCAAAUCCUACCCCAAAAAUUUUUCAUCGGCGACUGAUCAACACCAGGUAAUUUUUUUUGUACGUAAAUCAUCUGUUUUUCACGAUUUUUUUCCUCCCAUUCUAAGAAUCCGAACAAAUACACCUCUUCGACUUGAAAUUUAAGAUAUUUCGAGAUUAGAAUAUAUUUCAUUUUAUGUUUUGUGUUUCAGGAAUCGGAGCUCAUAUUUCCGAACAAAUACACCGUAUUUUUCUGAAAUUGUUGUGUAGUUAUUUCAUUUUAUGUUUUUGUUUUUUCUAUGACUGAAUAAUGAUUUUUUUUGUUUUAUAUGUUAUUUGGCUGUAAAAUUAAAUUAUUCAGAUAUAAUAAUACUCGCUUAUUCACAAUAAAUGUAUUUUUAUUCAGAAUGUUAAAUUUGACUUGAAUCUCCCACUACAAUCAUGAAGGUGAUUAAGGAAUCCUGGGAGAAGCAGACAACACUAAGAUCACCAAGCAAGAAUUGGAUUUCCUCUUGGAUGAAGAGCCGUAUUAAGAUGAAGUGUUGGAUUUGUAUGUCAUUUAUGUUUGUUCAGAAAAGUUGUAUUGUUAUUCGACAUUUUUAUAUGACAUAUCGUUUUAACAUGAAUAGUGGAUUGCUUUAAAUUAUUGUAGAUUUAUAUAAC